CCCAUCUCUCACUCUCACUCUCCCCCCCCCCCCAAUAAAGCUCUAAAAGGUAACCCUGGCUAUGAUUCUUUCAAUCAGCAUGCUCCUCCACUGGCAUGGCCGCCGAGGGCAGUGACCAGCCACGAGGGGCAGCGCCGCAGAAUAAACAACAUUGGUGCCGUGACUCCAAUACACCACCGAGCACCAAGGACCUGCUGUGACCACCGCCGCCUCUUCCCCCACCCCAGAGAGACCGCGAGCAUGCGUGCGUCCCUCGCCACCUCUGCUGGACCCCCACCACUACCGCCAUGAUUCCUCACCACACUUCAGAGGUCUGACACUAGAUGCCGGACCACUAGGAAACAAGGAUGUCGCCGGCGACCGAUUUACAAAAUACUGCUGUGGCAAGAAUUAGAGACUCACUCAGAGAGAUCAUUAUGAUGUCUAAAGCACGAUUUCUCUCUUCUCUCGCUCUUCUCUGACACGUGUGCCGUCUCUGGGGUUGCUGGCAAUACCUGGUCAUUUUUGGAGAAUAUGCCCUGGGAGAGCUAAUGUUUAUGCUGCUUCAUCUGAGAGGUAAGAUUUCCUCAAUGGGGAAGAAGAAGCCUGCUGUCCGCAUCACCCUUGUUCACACCCACUCACCUCCCUGUUCCAGCAUCCACGUGGAAUUUGGAGCCACAGCAGCCACGAUGUGACCCUGAAGCGCAAGAAUAUAGAAGGCCGUUUUUGGAGAGCUGCCAAGCCAGGAUCAAAACCACCUGUGCCUCCCUUAUAUUUAAAUGGC